GUAUAUCAGAAUGAUACGGUGAAUACGUUCUCGGGCCUUGUACACACCGCCCGUCACACCACCCGAGUUGAGGAUACCCGAAGCUAUUAUUCUAACCCGCAAGGGAGGAAGGUAUCUAAGGUAUGUUUAGUGAGGGGGGUGAAGUCGUAACAAGGUAGCCGUACUGGAAAGUGUGGCUGGAUCACCUC
rnacentral:rRNA from 1 species